GCUAGUUUAACUUUGAGAAGGAACCGUUAAGGAAGGCGCCGGGCGUGACCAGGGUUGGGUCUGGUGUCUGCGAAGCUCGCGAGGGAAGGUCAGGGGCUGCCGCCGCCGAGGUCUUGGAUGGCUUCCGUGUUUUUCCCAACUCUUUUUCCAGUUAGGAUAUCGCAUUGCAUUUGGCCAUCGUUGCUCCUUAGUCUCCUCCCGGCUGACAGCUCCUCAGUCUUCCUGGGUCUUUCACAACCCUGACGCUUUUGAAGAUACUGGUCAGGUUUACGAAGAUGCACCAAAAGGCCACAGCCACACUGCUCGAGCUUGCUGCAAGGAGUCUGCUGAGUAAUGAGCCUGCAGCUAUCCGGGCCCUGGAAGAACUCCCAAGAGACCUCUUUGUUCCAUUGUUCAUUGCUGCCUUCUUGGGUGGGCAUAAGAAGAUACUAACGGCAAUGGUGAGGGUUUGGCCCUUUCGCUGUCUCCAUGUUGGGACCUUGAGUGUACGAGAGUCAUACUACGAAAUCGUGGAAGCCGUGAUUGAUGGUCUGCAGAUCCCCCCUGUCCGGAGCCCUUCCUCUUGGUAAGACUAUAGCUGAUAGGGACAUUGUGAGUCAGCAGGAGGGUAUGCUGGAGCCUGGGGCAGGGGAAUACCUAACAGUCUCCCGAAAGUAGCCAAUGGUGAAUGCUGAGGAUCUCUGUGGGCCUAUUGUUCCAACACUUGGGGUCACCUUAGGGACUCCAGUGUCUUACAGAGUUGAUUAUAGAAUAGAGGUGAUUGAGGAUACUGUGGUUGGAUUUACCUCCUGAGUAAGAAGAAGGACAUGGGUAUUGAGACUGUGGAGGACCAGAGGUGAAGAAAGUGUGGGAAAAAGAAUAAAAGAUGCUAAAUUUGUGUGGAAAGAACUUCUUGGUGAAUGGUAUGUGGAAUGACAACUGGGGAUAAAGAGUUCCUUCCUGCUUCCCAUCAUUG